GUCCCACUGCAGUGCUGCUGUGCCUGAUCACCUGUCAGGUAUAGUGGCCUUGCUGCACUUACAAUGUAGAGCUUUUUGGUGCAGAUAUAGUGGUUAUAUAGUCAUGAUUAUGACGAAAUUACAGUCAUGUCUUUGACUUUUAAAUUCUGCUGUUCUUGCUCGUAUCCCUCCCCAGAACUAUAAACUUUUAGAGAAAGAUGGACCAUAUUUGACUGAAUAGGUUCUGUGAAGAUGCCUUCUGCCAGAGCAGUCAUGUCAAGGGAACAGAUUGGCCGGACCAUGAUGUUCAGAAAAGUGGCACUUUUUGGAGUGUCCUUGGAGAAAAUCAGGCAUGGGUUUCAGUUUACUGAACACCCAGGAAGAAUUGUUGUCCCCCAGGUUCUCAGGUUUCUAAAGAAAUGAAGAUUUUAAAAUGUCUGUUAACUACCAAGGUAAUGUUUCAUCAUUCCCUUAUUUGGUGGUAAAGCAAAUUCAGAAUUGAAAUUAUGAAUCUCCAUAUUCUCAUGCUAUACAAGCAGCAUUAAUUAAUUCAACAUGACAAGCUUUGUGAAGUAUCUGGACUUGCACAGGAAAAAGAUGAGGGCACAAAGUGAACCUAGGCCAGAGCCAAGUGACCACAGAGCUUGGCAAGCUGUGACUUUUGGACAGUGGAAGGGGUUUGCCACAGACGGCUUCAGUGAGAAUUCAAGAGGGAUUCCCUGCUUUCUCUGCCUAAAAAAAAUCAUCACUGUCUAGCAGCUGUGGUGACCUCAGACACAUGAAUCAAGUUUGCCAGGAUAUGGAGAGAACUGCAAGAAUUGCAGAGUGUUUCGUGAAGCUUCUGGAUGUUGACACAUUCCAAGAGUGAUGGAGAUGUGGGUCACCUGGCAGAGAAAAAGAGCCCAGCCUGACCACUGGUGCCCCCCAAACUCUCCUUCUGGCUCAGAACUGGACCCACACAGCUGUUCCCCCUGACUUGGAACUGGCAGCAGCCCAGCAUUCCUUCUGCCACACUUAACCAGAAGAGACUCCCUCCUCCCCAUCUGUGGUAAUGAGGUGGCACAGAAUAACCUCCAUGUCGCAGCCAUGCCCCUUCCUGCAAAAAUGAGCUCUGUCCUGGCCAGAACCGGGAGACAGGGUGAGCAGGGCUGGUCUGGAGCUGCUGCUGGCAUCCAGGCUGCUGAGGAGUCCCGAAGGCAAGAAACAAAAGAAACAAAAAAGAAACAAAAAAGGCUACCAGAGCAAGGCUGAACUACAGGGGAGGAAAAGGCAAAAUCCGAGGGUGGUGGUGGCCAUCCUUAGUGAGCACAGCGCAGCCCUGCAGAGCCCGGCCUGGCUGAGCAGAGUGCGACAGCAGCUUCAUGGGCAGGCACGGGCACAGCAAAACCUGAACCACAUCCACGCAGGAGACACAACCAGAAACAAAGAUGCAGCACGGCCCAGGGUCUGUCCUGGAGUCAGUUAUGCCUACGGAAGAAAUGAAGAACGGGGCUUGGGCUUAGACGGAGCUCUUUAGCCCAUGGGCCGAGGAUGUGGAUGAAAGUUUCAGGCCAAGCUGGACAGCGCCAUUGAGGCCUAUUGGUACACUCAGAGUUCUGAGGGAUAAGCUGUUCCAAAUAUUAGAAAUAUGUCUAUGACUUGUUAUGAAAGAUGACUGCUUGGU